UCCUGGCUCAGGAGUGAACGCUGGCGGCGUGCUUAACACAUGCAAGUCGAACGAAGCAUUUACCGGAACAUUUCGGAUGGAAGUUAAAUGACUGAGUGGCGGACGGGUGAGUAACGCGUGGAUAACCUACCAUAUACAGGGGGACAACAGUUGGAAACGACUGCUAAUACCGCAUAAGCGCACAGUGCCGCAUGGCACGGUGUGAAAAACUCCGGUGGUAUAUGAUGGAUCCGCGUCUGAUUAGCUAGUUGGUGAGGUAACGGCCCACCAAGGCAACGAUCAGUAGCCGACCUGAGAGGGUGACCGGCCACAUUGGGACUGAGACACGGCCCAAACUCCUACGGGAGGCAGCAGUGGGGAAUAUUGCACAAUGGGCGAAAGCCUGAUGCAAGCGACGCCGCGUGAGCGAAGAAGUAUUUCGGUAUGUAAAGCUCUAUCAGCAGGGAAGAAAAUGACGGUACCUGACUAAGAAGCCCCGGCUAACUACGUGCCAGCCGCUGC
rnacentral:rRNA from 1 species